GACGUAGGGCGCGAGCGUUGUCCGGAUUUAUUGGGCGUAAAGAGCGUGUAGGCGGUUUGGUAGGUCCGCUGUGAAAACUCGAGGCUCAACCUCGAGACGCCGAUGGAAACCCUCCAGCUAGAGUCCGGAAGAGGAGAGUGGAAUUCCUGGUGUAGCGGUGAGAUGCGCAGAUAUCAGGAAGAACACCCGUGGCUAAGGCGGCUCUCUAGUACGGUACUGACGCUGAGACGCGAAAGCGUGGGGAGCGAACAGG
rnacentral:rRNA from 1 species